rnacentral:rRNA from 1 species
CUGCCCAUUGAAUAUUUAAAAGGCCGCAGUAUUUUGACUGUGCAAAGGUAGCAUAAUAAUUAGUUUUUUAAUUGAAAGCUAGAAUGAAUGAUUUAAUGAAAAAAAUACUGUCUCUUUUUUAUUAAUUAGAAUUUUAUAUUUAAGUUAAAAAGCUUAAAUAAGAUUAAAAGACGAGAAGACCCUAUAGAGUUUUAUAUAUAAUUAAAUAUUUAUAUGUUAUUAUUUUAUUUUUGUUUAAAAAUUAUAUUUUAUUGGGGUGAUGGAAAAGUUUAUAAAACCUUUUUAUUAUAAAAACAAUUUUACUUGAAAUAUUGAUCCUUUAUAAGAUUAAUAGAUUAAAUUACCUUAGGGAUAACAGCGUAAUUUUUUUGGAGAGUUCAUAUCUAUAAAAAAGUUUGCGACCUCGAUGUUGGAUUAAGAUUUUAUUUAAAUGUAGAUGUUUAAAUUUUAAGUCUGUUCGACUUUUAAAAUCUUACAUGAUC